UCGCACCUACCGAUUGAAUGGUCCGGUGAAACUUUCGGAUCGCGGCUGGGUGGGUCCUUGCGGCCCUCCAGUCGUGAAAAGUCAGUUAAACCUUAUCAUUUAGAGGAAGGUGAAGUCGUAACAAGGUCUCCGUAGGUGAACCUGCAGAAGGAUCA
rnacentral:rRNA from 1 species